UGAUAUUUGGAGAAAAAAUACCGCACGAGUUCUGUUAAUCAAAUUGAUACAUCACCAGUUAAUGAUAUUCAGGUAACUACUCAAUACGCUUAUCUUAGAGAGGAACAUGUGUUAUGGCAGUUUCCUUUUACAGUCUCUUUUUUGAACCCUGUGACUGACUGCAGCCUAUCUGAUUGUGUGCUUCCAAAAAUCGGUACUACCCUCCUUUCCCUCAAGUACUUUUUCUCCUUUUUUAAGGCACGUGUAGCUAAUAGUUUUACUGUUGUGACACCUGCCCUGUUGUUUGAUAUAUUUUUUUAAAAAUUCCAUGCAUUGUAGUUGCUAAUACUGUGUUUAGUAGCUAGAGAAGGGCAAAGAAACCAUUGCAGCUCCAUAAACCCAAACUGAUUAGCAUGUUCUCAUGCCAAUGUUAGGUUUGAGCACUGUCUUGAAGCAGUUUUUAGUCUUCUCCCUAAGUGUAAAAUCAGUAUUACUGUGUUUUUCUUCUAGAAAGUAGAAGCACUAUUAUCCUCAGAUAAAAGAACUUAUACAGUAUUACAGAUACUUUAAAGUUUAUACAUAUAAAAAGUCACUGAUACAUUGACACGUGAUGCAAUUUUUCUGUAAAAGGAAUUAAAUCAGUCUUCUGUUUCCUGAUCCUUCUUUGGGGGCAGUGGCGGAGCAUUGUUUGUCUCCAGCCUCUUUCCUGUUUUAUUGCUUUUCCUCUCUAGUUUUUCAGCCAAAUACCACAGAGGAAUAUUUUAUUCACUAGGCAUUGUUUAUGUUAUUAGAAAAGGUUUUGAGGUGUAGUCCCUUAUCAGCUUCCCUCGUGUAGUUUUUUUGAUAUCCCUGUACGUGCAUGUGUGAGCUGUGUAGAUUUCAUUGGACCCGGGCCCUGCCUUGCUGUGAAAAAUGAAAGAUUGAUGGAGCUGAAGAGACGAUGAGCAGGACAGUGAGUGAGGUGUGACUGCUCUUGUGCCUGCUUCCAGAGCUGCAUGCACGUUUUGCAUUACUCAGUUAGAGAGCAUAAGCAACGGUAAAAUUAAGGACUGGAUAGGAAGGGACCUCCCUCCUUUCCUAGGUAGAUACACUCUGCGCUGAACUCAUGUCACACUCCUUUUUGCUUAACCCUUCUCUAGCAAUAUGACUCGUAUAGUCCUUGCUGUGUGUUGGGAAAUUUCAACUAGAAGAAUGUACUAGUUAUAUCCAGUACCCUUCUUUGGCCCACAUUAGUUUUGAAGUUGCUGUACUGAGUGCUUGAAUAGGGGAGAUAAAAUCCAUAUCCUGCACUUGGCGAAGUGCUUCAGUCAUUGACCUGUAGCGGGGCAGCACCAGUAUAACUGCUUUCCCUUUCUUUGCAUCCCAAGAGAAAAGAAUGAACGUAGAGUCAGAGGGCAGUAGUGUAGGUGUCUGCCAGGAGAGAUGCUCAGGUAGGAAAUUCCACUUUCAGGUACGUGCCUAAUGCCAGGAGGGAUUUCAGACAUAUUGUGGCCUUUGCUCUUCCUGCUGACUGCUGUAUGCGCUUUUCCCACCCCUCAAGCUUUCACGUUUUCAAUUCUUUUUCAGGAUUUCAAGUUGUGAAAUCUCAGUUUGCUAUAGGAAUGAGGAUGUCUGAUCUGAAUAUAUGAGUUUUUGCAGGAGUCAGUGCCUUCAGAUUUAAACAGGGAGAAGGAGAAAAAGUUGUCAAGGGACAAGAAUUUGAUGAGAAAGAGGAAGUGGUUCUUGGUUAGUGUCUGCAAGGGCAGAGGAGUUCAGCUGCUAUGGUUCUGCGGUUAGAUGGCAUUACAUCAUUAGCAAGCAGAUUGUCUGGUUGGAAAGGAAUGAGGUAAAGAGUGCAUUUGUGUGGGUUAAGGGGACUGAAGAAAGAAGCACCAGGGCUAUGUGUAUAUAUAUAUUCUUGUCUAUAUUAUAAGCAUAUAGAUUCUAUAUAUGAGGCAGAUGUUAUAUAUAGAGAUAACAUGACUAGAAGAGAAUGACAGUUUCUCUUGAUUUCUUUUUUUUUUCUUCAAAAAAAACACCCACCAACCCUUCAUUGAACGGCAUCAUGGAGAAAACGGAUCGACGACUAAGCGGAGGGGACCACUGAGGGCUACAAUUCCUUCGCAGAGUACAAGUACGGCAAGUGUAGAGUCGGCGUAAGAGGGCAUUGAUCACACCUCCGUAGAAAAUGCAGAUAAAAUGAUGCAGCAGUGAGAGAAGCGCGCGGGGAAUGGCACUGCCAAGGGUUGCGGGCUCCACACAUUCCCAUCUCCGCAAGCCGGUGGAACUCCUGCACCUUCUGCCUCUUCAGAGACAUUUUGGACGCUCGGCUCUUGCGGCUAAUGGGCCCAGGGCAGGGAGAGGAGCGAGCGUGCUUUGUUGUGUGUUCAGACUCGCUAACAGGAGGUGAUUUUGUGCCCGAGCUGUGGCUGGUUUCCCCACAGUGGUACGGCAGCGGGUAGGUUAUGCAGGCUGGGAUUUCCAGAGUCUGCAGCCUGGCUGCUGCGUGUUCAGAAACAAGUGGGUGGCUCCUAGAAGCUGGAGCAGAAAGGCGGCAGGGCUGGUGUUCAGACGGAAGCACGCAAGCCUGGAGGUGCACCCCGUGCUCGUGUGCAUCCCGUGGACCUGAAGCACCACUAUUCAUACAAGUCAGCCCACCCGCUGCUGAUUUCUGUAGGUUUUGGAACAGGGCCUCUUUGAGGCUGUGAAAGCCCUGGGUUUGGCGCUUCAGACUUAAGAGAGCCUGUUUCUGUGGGUGUAUUUGCAGGCAGUGUUUUAGUAAACUGAGUGUGCGGGUGAGCCCUAAACACUUAUUUAGGGAAAUAACUUUAUGUUUGUCUCAUAAUUGGUAGAGGAGGAUGAUAUGAUUUGAGUGAGGCUACCCACCUGGUAGGAGUAAGGAUUCGUGAGACCAUUCUUUAAACUUGUGGUGGGUACGUGAACUCCCAAAGGUCAAUUAUAUAUAAUUAAUAAUAUAAAUAUAUACUUUUCAGUGGAUUUAUGCCAGGGUAAAUUUGAUUCCAUGUGUUUUUAAGCCUGUACUAAACUUUCCACUGCUUUUUUGGAGGUAGAUUUUAGGACAAAGUUCAGCUAAGGGCUCAAACCGAGACGAUGAGGUAAUUACACAGAGGCAUCCACAUUGCAGGAUUUUAUCCAAACCAAACCUGAACUCCUAAUUCUUGUUCAGUUCUCCUACAAUGGGGGUGAGGAAAGGAGACCAUGAACUGAAAAAAAAAAAAAAAAAGGAUGGAGAAAAAAAAGCCUUUUAACUGUUUGUUCAAAUAGAUAUUAGUUCCUCUUUCUGCAAGCAUUUCUUGCAGAACGUGCAGAUUGUGAAUGGGCACAUUCGCUAAGCAAGAGCAGCGUCAAAAGCAAUGAAAAAUAAUCAUGGCAGUAUACGCUUACGGUAUUUCUCAGACAAAUGCACUAGUCAACUCUCCUAGGACAUUGCCUUCUUUGUAACCCAGUCAGAUGAUAUGCAAAUGUUCCAAACACCAGGCUGGUGAAUAGAAACGAAUAUAUUAAGUUUCCGUUUACAGACACAGAACAUCCAAAUGCUAUAGGCAGUGAUUUCAAACUGGGAAAAACUGGAUGGGCUUUUAGAGUUAUAAAACAGUCGUUCCAAAUGCCCCUUUUCUAUAUGACAGGUACUGGUCCGUCUAGAAUUAAAAGCUGGGUUUUUAACAGCACAUAACAGUAGAAGCUAUGUGUAUUUCCUGCUAUCAUGUGGCUGUAAGAGGUAGCAAUUUGUGAAGCGCAGCUGGCUUCAGCAGGGAAAGCUCUGAGCAGUGAAAACAAGCUCACCAUCUGAGAGAGGGAUGGGGGCUGUGAAACGGAUGCAGAACAUUGAUGAAACCCACAGGAAAUCACUAAUUAUGAGAGUCACAACAAUUAUAAAAUGGGGCGCUUACGCUGUCCAUUGGCAGUCGGGGCUAUGCUGUCGUAAGGCUGUGCUACGCGGUCGCAGACUCAGUUGGGCAUAUACACAGAUGUCUGUGCUUCUCUAUAGUUAGAUGCUGAAAUGCAGAGCUGCUUUUGGGUGUGUGUUUUUACUCAGAGCUCUGCACGAAGAGAACAUUUUGGGAUGCUUCAGGAGCAUCCAUUAGUAUAAAGUACGAGCGUGUCAAUGCUUAUAGCUGUUUGCUUUGUUUUGGCUGAUGUUUUCCUGUGUUCUAGAAUAAAUUGA